UUAUGAACAUUCGCAAGAAAAUAUUCAUUAGGUAAACAUUUUCAGUUGUUGGGAGGUGCAUACCCUAGAAUGAAAUUACUUUGUCAUGUAUUAACUCUGUGUUAUUUCCUUUUUUUUUUUUUUCUUGUAAGACACUGCAUUCCUAGCUAGCCUCAAAAUCACUGUAGUGUAGGCAGUCUAGAAUUUGUGGCAAUCUUCUUGCCCCUCAAGUAUUGAGAUAAUGGGUAAGAGCCAUACAUCACCUCUUUUUAUUUUGUCUUUUUUUGGGGGGUGGGGGCUGAAAGUAUGUUUCAUUAUAGUUCUGAUUGGAAAUUUGUUAAUGACCAAUGGACAUGUUUUCUUCUGCUUAUUUUCUAUUGCAUAUAUUCUAUGAAAAAAUGUCUACUUAAAUAUCCUGUGCCUUUUUUUAGUACUUUUUUUUUAAUUUUUGAGAAUUUCAGGCAUGUAUAUAAUAUAGUUUGAUCAGGUGCAACUCUCAUUCUUCCCCUCAGCUUCUCUUGGACCUUCCACAUACAACAUGGCCCACUCCCAAAUUUACUUUUUUGUUUGUUUUUGUGUUUUUGAAACAGGAUUUCUCUGGUAGCCUUGGCUGUCCUGGAAUUCACUCUGUAGACCAGACUGGCCUCAGACUCAGAGGUCCACCUGCCUUUUUCAUCCUGAGUACUGAAAUUAAAGGCAUGUGCUACCACCACCCAGCUAAUUUACUUCUUUUUAAAAUAGCCCAUUGAGUCCAGUUAGUGAUGCCUGUAUGUAUAUAGGUUUUCAGCCAUCCACUAGAACAUGAGCAACCUUCCAGGGACCAUGGCUCUUCAUAUAGGGGUCAGACCUCCUGAAUUCUUUUUUGCAUAUGCUAGAAUUUUGACUGGCUUGAUCAUCUGUGGAUCUUGUACAGGUAACCACAGUCUGUGAUUUUAUGACGACAAUACCAUGUCAUGUCCAGAAGACAGCAUUUUAUGGCAUUUCUUCACAUCCUCCAGUUUUUAUUUAAAAGUCCCCUCCCCCAGCCAGUGUUCCCUCAGUCUUGGUGGGGUAGAGUGUGAUAUAGAAGAUAGUUGUCCCAUUUAGGCCUGAGCACUCAAAGUCACCUAGUCUUAGCACUUUGACCAAUUAUGAGUUUCUGCAUUAACUACUGUGCAUUGCAAGAAGUUUCUCUGACCAGGAUUGAGAGCAGUACAAAUCUAUGGGUAUGAAUGUAAACACUUCAAAAGCAUUUUGACAAUGUGGAUAUUUAGUAAAACAACAGUACUAUGUUCCCUGUAGGGCCUUUGAAUUCCCCACUCAGGCUUUUGACCAGGUUUACAGUACCAGGAAAGAAUUCCUUUUUGUGGAGCUAGCCUCAAAUAUAAUCAAAAAGUAGAUGGUUACCUCCUUAAUGGUCAUGCCACUAUUUUAUGCUUAGUGAAUACAUCUUGCCUGGCAGGUUAGUAUUUUAGCAUUCAGAGUAUAACACCAGGUAAGGCCAUUGGUAUCUUUUCUACCGCAGCAGAGAGCAUAGCAUCUCUGGGAUGAUAGCUAGCCAGCAGAGAGAAUUGUCUAGUCAGUUCUGUAUCUCUUGUAACCAAAAUAUGUAUUGUGUUCUGCUAUAGGGCUUCAAUAUCAAGUUAGGAAAUACAUUGUCUAUGUUUAGUGGGGUUGUUUGUUGUUCAUAGAAGUUGGGAGGUGCAGUGUUUUGAGGAAAGUUCUCCCUGUGUAGCCCUGCGCUGGCAACGUAGACCAGGCUGACAUGGAAUUCACAGGUAUCAGCCUGCUCUGCCUCCAAAUGCUGGCAUUAGAGGCACAUACCACCAUGGCUGUCAAUAAGAGGUUUUUGUUUGUUUGUUUAAUUUAUACUCUACAUAUUAAUCUGCUUAUGAUUAUAUAAUUUAUAUUUUCUCAAAUUUUUGGGGCUUCACACUGUUGAUGGUAUCUAUCCACCUAUAUAUACUGUUCUUUAUCUUUUUAUUUAGAUUGAUUUAUAUGUAUGAAUGUUUUGCCUCCAUCUAUGUAUGUGUACCGCAUGUAUGCCUGGUCCUCAAGGAGGUCAGAAGAGGGUUGGAUCCCCUGAAACUGGAGUUAGUAGUGUUUGUAAAUUGCUAGGAAUCCUCUGUAAGAGCAUCCAGUGUUCUUAACCACAGAGCCAUAACUUCAGCCCUUAAGUCAUUUUCUGAUUAGUUCUCAGAUUAUUUCUGUCAGUGUUUCUAUAGUCCCCUCUUCUUUGUAUUCCAUAAUUCUUUUCCCUGUCUACGUACAUUCAGAGUAUUCCCAUCUUUCAAGGUCAGUUCCACCUGUUUUCUGCUCAUGAAUUCACCCAUAACUUAUUUACUGUGGAGAAAAUCUUCUGCUUUCUCCCAUUAGUGCUUUCUAGAAGACUUCAUAAUACCUUAUAUUUUGUAUCUGAUACCCCAUAGAUGAAGUACAUAGUUUCUUCCUGUUUUGAGAUGACAAGAUUACAUUGUUAAGCCCAGAUUGGUUUCAAACUUGAGGUACUCCUUCCUUAGCCUUUACUGAUAUCAUGAGCAUAUGCCUACAUGCCCAACAGAAAUACAUACUUUUUCAUAUUUGCCUUUCAUAUUACAAGUAAUUUUACUUGUUUAUCAAUAAGUAUACAUUAGGUGAGUGGAUGUUUUUGUUUUUUCCAAUAUGAUUCCUUGUGUCUAGGCGCAGGUAAAAUAAAAAAGACAAGAAAACAACUUGGGUAUCACAGAGUCCCAAUUAGAUUGUUACUUGAAUUCCACAAACACAUUGCAGUAUGCAUUCAUACCUAAACAUGUGAAAUAAAAUUUUUAAAAGUUCAAGAUACCAGUCCCAUUUAUCUUAAAUAUUGUUUGGAGGACAAGCAUCAGCCAGAUAUCAUUGCAGGUAAUAGAUCCAAGUUAGUUAACAUUUUCCAUUUCUAAACUAUCAUUAAAGAAAAUCCUAUCUAGAGUCAUACCAUCUUUUAUCUUAGGGCUGAAACCCUGCCAUUUUGAUUCAUAUGUUCGCAGUGUAAAAUUAACCUAGAUAUGCCUAAUUUAUUCUGCAUCCACGUAAAAAAGAUUUUACAAUUUCUACUCUCUGUUCUCAUUUCAAGAUUGCCUUUAAAUUACUUCAUAUAAUCUUUGAUAUACUUCUUGAAGACUUUUUGAUGAAGAUCGUUCAUGAUUAUCAACACCAGUGAUUACUGUGCUUUAAAUACCUUUAUUUUGGGUCUUCAGCAGAGGCAUUUCCAUCAGUUUUACCUUUUCUUAUACUGACCAUAUUGCCUUCACCCUCCGGGCAUAUGUCAUAGGACAGCUCAUCAUAGCUGAUAAGGUCCUAGUGGAUGAUUUUGGUGACUAGAGUCAUAGCACUAGUUCAGAAGGGGGCAGAGGCUAGCCAGCAGAACAGUCUGCCAAAAGUUAAAAUUUAUGUUUUAUCUUCACAACUAAGAUUAGUCAAUUUUCCAGCUGCUGAUAAUUUUGGAUACCCAAAACUUGUGUUGCUUUUUCUUCUUUAAGUUAAUUUAACAAUCUGUACACUGAGACAGAUACGGUAGCACACACCUAGGCUACAUAGGAACCUGUGUCAAAUCCAAAAACAAGAACCAAAUUUAAUAUAUUCUUUUUAUGAAAAAGUUAGGCUGGGGAUGUAGUUCACUUGGUCGAGUACUUGCCUAGCAUUCAUGGAUGUGGUCACACUUGAGAAAUAGAGCCAGAGAAUCAGGAAUUCGAAGUCAUCCUCAGCAACAUAAUGAUUAGGGUCCAUCCUAGUCUAUAUGGCCUGUCUUCUCCCGCCUCCUAAAAAAGAUCAAACAUAGCUAAGUCUAGGGUCUACUUGUUGGAGAGUAUUUUUAUCUGUUUUAUUGGGGUUCUUAUACCUCUGCUUCCCUUCACCCUAAUCCUUUCCAACACCCCAACACCAGGUAGGAGAAAAAGAAGGUUAGUGGGGAAAAGGGACAUAGGUCUGUUAGGUUACUUUCUGCUGGUUAGGGUCUUUGGGUUCCUUGGGGUAAGACCAAUCUUUGUAGUCAGGAUAUCUCCAACUUCUUCUCAUCAAACUGCAACAAAAGCAGCCAGGAGCAGCAGAGGGGAAGCGGCCUUCUACUACUUCAGAGUCCUCGCCCCACUCUGGGCUUUGGCAUUUAUUCCCUCUCAGAAUUAAACUAUCCACAGCUGGCAAAGAUUACGCCCCUCUCAGAGCCUACAUGAGGCAAAUAGUUUGCUGCUGUGGAAAAUCUGAAGCAGUCCUAUACCCGACACCUAGGAUCUAAACAAAAAUAUGUUUACAUAGCAUAACAGUUUUUAAAGAAAUCAAAAACUCUUAUUACAGGCUACUUCAAUUACACCAGUUCCUAUCCAUUGCCUCUUGAAGGAUUUUGUAAUUUCUUAAUUUGUACAUUUAUUUACUUGUAUAUAGAACUUUAUUUAUCAUACAAUUAAUUGUAUGUGAUUAUUCUCACUUUUGUUUUCAUUUUUGAUAUGGGGUCUUGCCCUGGAACUUUUUAUGUUUUCUUCAGUUUCCUGAAUGGGCCUCUAGGUUUUAAGUGGUCCCCUCUAAUUUUCAUAACUGUUUAUAUCAGUAAGUAAUCUGUAACUAGUAAAUGUUAUAGCCAAGCCUCAGAUACUUGAAUGUGAAGUAAAAGACCAGGUAUCUGAAAACAUGAAUUCAUUUUGUCAAAUUCCAUUUCUGUUUAGCAUCUGGUCCUCAGGUUCAUUGGACAUGGCUCCACGUUCACAGCGGCGAAAGCACAAGAAACCCCCACCAGUGACUCCCAUGGUUGAAAUCCCACCAACAGGAGUGUCUCCACUGCCUCCAACCCUCUCAAAACCUGGCCCUAGUAUUGAUGCACUUGGCUUCAUUUCCUUGGACAGUAAUGUACCAGGUCUUUCACAGUUGAUCCUUCAAAAGCUGAACAUGAAAAGCUAUGAAGAAUACAAGUUGGUGAUAGAUGGGGGAACCCCAGUAUCAAGCUUUGGAUUUCGAUGUCAACAAGAAAUGUUCCAGAGGAUGGAGGACACAUUCCGAUUCUGUGCUUACUGUAAAGCACUCCCUCAUGGCCUUUCCAAUUACAAGGUUCUCCGGCACUGUAAGAGGUGCAGAAAUGUCUAUUACUGUGAUACAGAAUGCCAGAGGUCAGAUUGGCCAGCACAUAGGAAGGUUUGUCAAGAGCUCCGUCUUGUGGCUGUGGAUCGUGUCAUGGAAUGGCUUUUAGUUACAGGUGAUUUUGUCCUCCCCUCAGGACCUUGGCCAUCGCUGUCUGAAGAUAUACAGGAUUGGGAUACUUGGUUUUCAAUGAGGGGUUUACAGCUAGAGUCUACACUGAAUGCUGUUCUCGGUAGCCAUGCUAUGACCAUGCUUUGGGCCAGUCUACAAAGGCCACAGCCAGACCCAGAUGUCCUGCAUGGCUCUUUGAAGCGGUUGAUAACGGAUGUUCUGUCACGGCCCUUGACCCUGGGGCUAGGGCUUCGGACUUUGGCAAUAGAUGUUGCAAAGACUGGGGGAAGCACAUUGCAUGUGGUUGGUGCUUCCCACGUGGAGACAUUUCUCAUUCAUUCUGGAGAUUAUGAUGAGCUUGGCUAUAUGUUUCCUGAACACCUUGGCUUCCAUGUGAUCAUGGUGGGUGUGGAUGUGGGUACCAACCUUUUACAGAGUUCACCGACCUUACCCCUGGAGCCUGGAACAAUUCAGCUUAGUGGCCACAGGGCCCUGUAUCAUGACUUCUGGGAAGAGCAGAUAGAGACUGGGAAUCUAGCCCGUCCAGAUUUGGUGGCUGCAUUCCAUCCAGGUAAGAGCUAUUCAUUCAUUCAGAGGAGCUGAUAAUUUUCCAUCCUGCAUUACGUCCGAGUUAGGGUUUCUAUUGCUGGGAUGAAACACCAUGACCGAAAGAAAGUUGGGGAGGAAAGGGUUCAUUCAGCUUAUACUUCCACGUUGCAAUCCAUCACUGAAGGAAGUCAGAGCAGGAACUCAAGCAGGGCAGGAACCUGGAAAAGCAGGAGCUGAUAUAGAGGUCAUGGACUUGUGCUGCUUACUGGCUUGCCUCGCACAGCUUGAUCAGCCCACUUUAUCAUAGAACCCAGCCCAGGAAUGGCACCAGCCACAAUGGACUGGGCCCUCCCCUGUCAGUCACUGUUUUAGCUAGGGUUUUACUGCUGUGAAGAGACACCACGACCACAGCAACUCUUGUAAAGGAAGACAUUUAAUUGGGGCUGGCUUAAGUUUAAGUUUCAGGGGUUUAGUCCAUUAUCAUCAUGGUGGCAUGGCAGCAUACAGGCAGACAUGGUACUGGGAAAGGAACUGAGAGUUCAACAUCUUGAUCCACAGUCAGGAGAAGGGUACUGUGUUUCAUACUGGGUGUAGCUUGAGCACAGGAGGCCUCAAAGACUGUUCCCAGUGAUACAUUUCCUCCAACAAGGCCACACCUACUCCAAUACUACUGGUUUCCAUUCCUCCCCAAUCUUGAUGGAAGCUUGGCUACCUACCCUGCUGCUACUUCGUGACUUUGAGAUCCCGACAUUGAUUACUGUUUACAGCCAACAAGAAUUGGAAGC